AAGACUAUACUCUCAGGGAUCAUUUCUAGAGUUUCUGAUUUGAGGAAUAUGUCUCUAAAGUGUUUGGUCUCGCGACCAUAAUGAUGAGUUGUGAUAUUCCUUUCUGAGUGUGAAGCUGAUAGCGAUUGAUGAUUCACUUCAUAUGCUCUCUGUCAUUGAUGAUUGGUCUUUGUUUCUUUAUGGAGCAUUGCAAAAAGGAAUAUGAACAGAGUGGU